AGGGAAUCUUGCGCAAUGGGCGAAAGCCUGACGCAGCAACGCCGCGUGGGGGAUGACGGCCUUCGGGUUGUAAACCCCUUUCAGGAGGGAAGAAAUUGACGGUACCUCCAGAAGAAGCCCCGGCCAACUACGUGCCAGCAGCCGCGGUAAUACGUAGGGGGCGAGCGUUGUCCGGAAUUAUUGGGCGUAAAGAGCUCGUAGGCGGCUCAGCAAGUCGGCUGUGAAAUCCCGAGGCUCAACCUCGGAACUGCAGUCGAUACUGCUGUGGCUAGAGUCUGGUAGAGGAGAAUGGAAUUCCCGGUGUAGCGGUGAAAUGCGCAGAUAUCGGGAGGAACACCAGUAGCGAAGGCGGUUCUCUGGGCCAGUACUGACGCUGAGGAGCGAAAGCGUGGGGAGCGAAC
rnacentral:rRNA from 1 species